CCUACGGGUGGCAGCAGUAGGGAAUAUUGCUCAAUGGGGGAAACCCUGAAGCAGCAACGCCGCGUGGAGGAUGAAGGUUUUCGGAUUGUAAACUCCUUUUGUUAGAGAAGAUAAUGACGGUAUCUAACGAAUAAGCACCGGCUAACUCCGUGCCAGCAGCCGCGGUAAUACGGGGGGUGCAAGCGUUACUCGGAAUCACUGGGCGUAAAGAGCGCGUAGGCGGGAUAGCAAGUCAGAUGUGAAAUCCUAUGGCUUAACCAUAGAACUGCAUUUGAAACUGUUAUUCUAGAGUAUGGGAGAGGUAGGUGGAAUUCUUGGUGUAGGGGUAAAAUGCGUAGAGAUCAAGAGGAAUACUCAUUGCGAAGGCGACCUGCUAGAACCUAACUGACGCUGAUGCGCGAAAGCGUGGGGAGCAAACAGGAUUAGAUACCCUAGUAGUC
rnacentral:rRNA from 1 species